UACGUAGGGGGCUAGCGUUGUCCGGAAUCAUUGGGCGUAAAGCGCGUGUAGGCGGCCCGGUAAGUCCGCUGUGAAAGUCGGGGGCUCAACCCUCGGAUGCCGGUGGAUACUGUCGGGCUCGAGUACGGAAGAGGCGAGUGGAAUUCCUGGUGUAGCGGUGAAAUGCGCAGAUAUCAGGAGGAACACCAAUUGCGAAGGCAGCUCGCUGGGACGUUACUGACGCUGAGACGCGAAAGCUAGGGGAGCAAACAGG
rnacentral:rRNA from 1 species